UCAAAUUCCUAAAGCUGCAGCCACAUUAACAUCUAAGGAUCAGGCCACAAGUGUAAUUCUAAUAGAAGCGAAAGACCUUCCCAUACAAGAUCCUACUAAAUAUCCGUCUCUUCGACCUUAGAUUUCUGCUGCUACUGUGGUGUCCAGUCACAGGAUGGGCACCUGAUGGAAAGACUUUUCUACAGUGGGCCCGCUUGUAUGCCUGGUAAAGGAAUCAAUCCAACUGUUGGGUGACCCAACAGAAACAUCAGAGACUCUCUGGAGGACAAAGGGAAGUCACAGCCUUGAUUAAGACUACUACGUGGCAGGUAGAGUAAGUCUGGUGCUGCGACUUGAACAGGACUGGAAGGCCACCCUCGGACCCCCAUCUUUUCCACCCAGUACUGAGGCCUUUCCAGCCCACUGUGUUCCUUCCGCGACUGAUGAUCCGGGGAUACCAUGUUGGGGAUGCAUCCUACCCAGAGUCUUAAAUGCUACUCUACAGCCAGGCUUGACAAAGGAUUCAACAACAUAUCAUAAUCCAGCAGACCUGAGAACUACAUCUCCAACUGACUUUGUGCAGAGAGGCCAAAUCUGAGCUGACAGUUUUACACGUGGAGAUCAAAUUUGGACUGACAAUGGUAUAGACCUGGGCAUCUCCCAUCACCUUGUUUCCAGACAUAGUUGUUCAAGGACUUUAUGGCUGUCUUGAACAAGAGGGGGUCUGACAAUGUUGCAGUUAAGAACUUAACUACAGUUAAGAAAUCCCCCCAACCCUUUUGUGUUCUUGGAAAUGACUUAGUACAAAGAACACCUUUCCCCAUAUGACUUAGAUGACUUGCUGUCCACUCUUUCUCAUGACCCCCGUAAGACUCCUGGGUUUACCUGUGACAAGGCCAAACACAGACCCUCCAACUCCCCAUUCUUUUUCUUAUGAAUGAUUAACUGAAAUUAGAAGUUUGUCUCCCUUAAACUAGCUAGACACAGAGAGACACAUUUUCUCUCAGCUGACUGAGACUUCCUCUGAAUGCAGAAACAAUCCCACCUAUAAGUCACCCUACUCUAACUUGUCUACUCCUCCAUCUGAAAGUAAAAAGCAAAACCGCUCUGCUGAGAUACUCCGAUCUUCAAAUCUGGGGUGCUUUCCCGACUGCAAUAGCCUGAAUAAAAUCAAUUUCCUUUCUUAUUCGGUUUUGUCUUUAACAGUUAAAGACUAUCAGCUGGCUGAGAGGCCACACUGGAGGCACGCUCAACCUGUGUCCCCUGACUGCUGUGGGUCCUACUUAGGAGGCCCCACCAACUGUAAACAACACUUUCUUCUGGGGGGCACCCUGGGAUUGUACUCCUUGUGUGGAAGCCAGGCAUUAACUUGCCCCCUCUCCCCAAAAGAACACAUGGUGAUUUGCACCU